UCUUACUAAAACGAAAACAAAUGGAUUUUCAUUUUACCAGCUUUUGGUGUUCUGUUCAGGUGUAAAAUCAGGUGAAGUUUACUUCAUUGAGCUUUAAGGGACUCAGGUUUUUCACUUCUAUUUUCGGAGGGAUGUUCAUGAAGUAGAUCUAGAAUCAGUACUCACUUUAGUGAUCUAAGAAUCAGAGUCGAAAAACAGAUUAAAUGGUAUAAGGUCGCAGCAGUGAGAUUCUCUAAGUGUUUUUGAGCUUUUUCAGUGAGAUUUGAGGAACUGUGAUGGGUGCUACAAAGCUGAAGUGGUUUAUCAAUGGUGUAAAAUUGAAGUGUAUUUGAUAAA